AGAUGCAGCAACAUAACAUGACCCAUGCUGCAAGACAUGAAAAGUAUAUUGAGUUUUUGUGAACAUUUUUCUAAAUAGUGUGAUAGCAUAAUCCUGACAAAAGAAGACGACAGACAAAUCUCUCUUCAAGAUAAUACGUAACUUUUGAUAUACAUCAAAGAUUUAAUAAUACUAUGCGGCAACAGAGGUGCAAGACAGGAAAAGUACUACUGCAGAGCAACCUACUAUAAUCAAUUUUGUUUAAUAUAGGCAAUUUAACUUUCGUUAAUUAAAUUUGUGAUGCCUAAUAGAAUACAGAAGUUAGCUUGAACAUCUUGCUGAAUAUUGUGAUGCCGUAAUCCUGGUGAAAGAGAACAUACAGUGGUUUUAUUAUUUAUGAAGUUAUUGCAGCAGCAAGGCAACAAUUGUUUUAUUCUGAAAAAAAAACUGUGUAUAUUGUACAGAAGAUAUGAACUGGCUAAUUACAAUAUGACUAGACAACCAGAAACCUACUAUAAUUUAUUAUCUAUUAUAUAAGUCUAUGUAAUGAAUUGACAGGCCUAUGUGAUUUCGGUUAUGGAAAUAAAAAAUAUAAGUAGUG
rnacentral:lncRNA from 1 species